rnacentral:rRNA from 1 species
UAACCUGCCCAUUGGGUUCUAAAAGGCCGCGGUAUUAUGACCGUGCAAAGGUAGCAUAAUCAUUAGUCUUUUAAUUGAAGGCUAGAAUGAAUGGUUGGACAAGAAAUAAUCUGUCUUAAGUUAAUAUAUUGAAUUUAACUUUUAAGUGAAAAGGCUUAAAUUUUCUAGAGUGACGAUAAGACCCUAUAAAACUUUAUAUUUAAAAAUAAUAAUUAGUUUUAUUUAAGAAUUUUAUUUAAAAAUAUUUUAUUGGGGUGAUAAAGAUAUAAAUUUAAAUAACUGUCUUCUUUUUUUACAAUAAUAUUUGAAUUAAUGAUCCUAAGAAAGGAGUAAAAGAUCAAGUUACUUUAGGGAUAACAGCGUAAUUUUUUUUAAGAGUUCAUAUCGACAAGAAAGUUUGCGACCUCGAUGUUGAAUUAAAAAAUCUUUAUAGAGCA